rnacentral:rRNA from 1 species
UACAGAGGUCCCAAGCGUUGUUCGGAUUCACUGGGCGUAAAGGGUGCGUAGGUGGCGGGGUAAGUCUGAUGUGAAAUCUCCGAGCCUAACUCGGAAACUGCAUCGGAUACUGCCUUGCUCGAGGGUUGGAGGGGGGACUGGAAUACUUGGUGUAGCAGUGAAAUGCGUAGAUAUCAAGUGGAACACCAGUGGCGAAGGCGAGUCCCUGGACAACUCCUGACACUGAGGCACGAAAGCUAGGGGAGCAAACAGG